GACUCGUUAGCUCAGUCGGUAGAGCAACUGACUUUUAAUCAGUGGGUCGCAGGUUCGAUUCCUGCACGAGUCACCA
rnacentral:tRNA from 1 species